UAGGGAAUCUUCGGCAAUGGGGGGAACCCUGACCGAGCAACGCCGCGUGAGUGAAGAAGGUUUUCGGAUCGUAAAGCUCUGUUGUUAAGGAAGAACGAGUGUGAGAAUGGAAAGUUCAUGCUGUGACGGUACUUAACCAGAAAGGGACGGCUAACUACGUGCCAGCAGCCGCGGUAAUACGUAGGUCCCGAGCGUUGUCCGGAUUUAUUGGGCGUAAAGCGAGCGCAGGCGGUUAGAAAAGUCUGAAGUGAAAGGCAGUGGCUCAACCAUUGUAGGCUUUGGUAACUGUUUAACUUGAGUGCAGAAGGGGAGAGUGGAAUUCCAUGUGUAGCGGUGAAAUGCGUAGAUAUAUGGAGGAACCCCGGUGGCGAAAGCGGCUCUCUGGUCUGUAACUGACGCUGAGGCUCGGAAGCGUGGGGAGCGAACAGG
rnacentral:rRNA from 1 species